UAAUAGAUACCCGGGUAGUCCACGCCCUAAACUAUGUCAACUAGUUGUUGGGAGAGUUAAAUCUCUUAGUAACGCAGCUAACGCGUGAAGUUGACCGCCUGGGGAGUACGGCCGCAAGGUUAAAACUCAAAGGAAUUGACGGGGACCCGCACAAGCGGUGGAUUAUGUGGAUUAAUUCGAUGCAACGCGAAAAACCUUACCUACCCUUGACAUGUACGGAACGGGGCAGAGACGCCCCGGUGCCCGAAAGGGAAUCGUAACACAGGUGCUGCAUGGCUGUCGUCAGCUCGUGUCGUGAGAUGUUGGGUUAAGUCCCGCAACGAGCGCAACCCUUACCAUUAGUUGCUACAUUCAGUUGGGCACUCUAAUGGGACUGCCGGUGACAAACCGGAGGAAGGUGGGGAUGACGUCAAGUCCUCAUGGCCCUUAUGGGUAGGGCUUCACACGUAAUACAAUGGCCGGUACAGAGGGUUGCCAACCCGCGAGGGGGAGCCAAUCCCAGAAAGCCGGUCGUAGUCCGGAUUGUUCUCUGCAACUCGAGAGCAUGAAGUCGGAAUCGCU
rnacentral:rRNA from 1 species